AUUAAAGAGCACCUAUUAUGAGAUACACGUUUUUAAACAUCCUUUUGUGUGUAAGUGUGUAUUAGUACAUGCUAACGAUAUUCAAAAAGUACAUACCUCAAAGAAAACGAUGACGCGAGUUAUCGUCUCUAACGUUCGAGGACUACAAAAAACACUCGGAUUGUAGGCAACAGUUUACUUCCUGGGAUUGGUGACGUAGAUAAGACCAACAUUAUCAUAGUUCAGCCCUCUCUGCUUCGCUUGGGUACGCCCUCAAAGACGGGGGUGGAGAGCGCUGAGUCAGAAGAGAGCUAAAAUGGCGGAGGUUGGGAGUCCCUGCUUUGACCCUGUUUGCAAACUCUUGUUUCAUUGUUUAAGCGAUUAAAUCUCUCGAGUAGACGCUGUCUCUUUAGAUGCAAGGGCAAAAUAGCACUUUAUGGACUAACACAGAGGACAUCAUGUUUAAUACGGUUCCGGAAAAAUCCAGUCAGAAGUUGUUCACGGAGUUUUCACAAAAACUGCUUUUCAUGAACCGAAGCUGCGCGACGUCUCCUCCUGAAAGUUGGAUUACCGUGCACCUCUGGAUCACAGGCUAUUCGCAGCUGGACACAUCCGUCUACACUGUAUGCAAACAUGCAACAUCAUUACACACAGUACAAGGCAUAUGAGGAGCAAAGGAACCCAGGCAGUAGCAUCAUUUCACAAUGUUUCAAUCACCAUCAUCAGUGGAUGCCUUUGCCGUCCGUAGCCUGAGAUUUCAGAUUUGCAGCAAAAAAUGUGACUUUCCCAUUUAUUGGAAUGCUGUGCAGGUUGUACCUUGCAGCCAUCCAUUACAAUGUCACCAAGCCGUAACAAAAGCAGGAGAGGGAAAGUACAAGGCUAUGUUCCCAAAACACACAAGUGACAUACUGUAAGCAGUAAUGUUUUAUUUCAAAUACAUUCAUAAUUAAAAACUUAAUGUAUGAAGCAGGGAAAUAAAUUAUCAAAACAAAAAGAUUUAUUG